UGGGGAAUAUUGCACAAUGGGCGCAAGCCUGAUGCAGCAAUGCCGCGUGAGUGAAGACGGCCUUAGGGUUGUAAAACUCUUUCGCUAGGGAAGAUAAUGACGGUACCUAGUAAAGAAGUCCCGGCUAACUCCGUGCCAGCAGCCGCGGUAAUACGGAGGGGACUAGCGUUGUUCGGAAUUACUGGGCGUAAAGAGUUCGUAGGCGGACUAGCAAGUUAGAGGUGAAAUCCCAGGCUCAACCUUGGAACUGCCUUUAAAACUGCUAGUCUAGAGACCGGAAGAGGUUAGGGGAAUACCUAGUGUAGAGGUGAAAUUCGUAGAUAUUAGGUGGAACACCAGUGGCGAAGGCGCCUAACUGGUCCGGUACUGACGCUGAGGAACGAAAGCGU
rnacentral:rRNA from 1 species